rnacentral:lncRNA from 1 species
GCUGAGAGUGCACACUGCACUCCAGCCUGAGUGACAGAGCAAGCUUCUGUCUCAAAAAAAAAAGACUAAAACUUACCGCAAGAUAAGUUUUAGUCUUGUUAUACCAUAUUCCAGCAUGAUUUAUCUUUGGUAAAACUGGGAGACUGGACAGGAAGAUUACGUUUUGUUUAAAAAGAAAAUGUAUAGUGCACCAGUUAUUGGAUUCCAGUUCUUGUCUGUUGUUUUUGAGUUUUUAUUAUUUUCUACAAUUUGGAUUGGCUCUUCAAUUCUUUCUGGGCUCCAAACCAACAUUUUCAAAAUUUUCUUCUAUUUUUCAGACUAGGACUCAAUGAAAUUGCUGCCCCCAUGUUCCUGAGGCUCUGCAAGCUGAAGCUUAUUUCUCAUGAUAUAGGCAAGAAAAAUGUGUCAGGUUGCCACCACCUUCCUCCCUGGUAAUGGGAGAAGAUGGUAUACUACCCAACUAAUUUUAUGGCAUCUGUGGAUUAUGCUCUUUAGAAAGGAAGAUUUCCUCCCUCAAACAAGACCAGAAGGAGCCUGGUUUUCCCUAGAAUUCUCCUCACAUCUCCCCAGGACACCCUCCAGGCCUUUGUCAGGGCCAGAAUUUUCUGCUCUUACGAUGCUGAUGAUUGUCUAAGAUUGCACCAUCCACCCUGGAGGUUGCUGACUCCCAUUUGAUUGCUGGCCUGCCACUCAUCCUGUGCUGUUUUCUUGGAGCCUGACCUCCUCAGUGAUUGCUGCUGGAGAGACUGAAUGGUGCAACCUGGAAGUGCGGUGUAGCUGAUGCUCUGUGGUGGAAACUGACCAGAUGGAGAGAGGAGUCUGCAGAGAAGUCUUCUCUUUCUUCCUCACCCCAUAGUAAGCCCACACAGAGUUCUGGUCCUCACCACAGUGCCUUAGGGAAUGGAGCUCCCAGGAUGCCCACUUGAGCUGGUUCUCCACAGCAUCAAGCUCAGAACUUGGUAAUCCCUGAGCUUCUUCUUGAGAUACCAUGUCUUCUACUAGUACUUCCCGUUUUCGUCGACGGAGAGAAACCUGGAAACAGAAAGAUUUGAUUCAGAGAAGGAACUGUAAUGAGAAUCAGAACUAAAAACACGUAAGAGAAACCCCAUGAAACAAAUACUGCAGAAGCCUAGAUGGCAAAGCGGCACAGAUAACAAGGAGUGGUAGGGGAAUGGGGGAAAAGGCAUAAACAUAAUUCUAACUUAGUUGAGUGGAAUUAAUUCAGCAGCUUUGCCUACUACCUAUGCCAGUGCUUCUGACACAGGAAAUGACACAAGCAGGCUCACCGGUUGUCCAGGGUCAUCAAGUUCACUCUCCAAAUCCUCCAGCACUGUCACUGCCUCCUCUCCAUUCUCUGGAUGAUGAUCUCGAACCCAAGUCUGUAGCUCUUUGGGUAGGAUGGCAACAAACUGCUCCAGCACUACCAGCUCCAAGAUUUGUUCUUUUGUGUGCGUCUCUGGCCUGAGCCACAGACGGCAAAGUUCUCGGAGCUGGCUCACAGCCUCACGGGGCCCAGGUGAAUCCUGGUAUCCAAACUGCCUGAAUCGCUGUCGGAAAAUCUCUGGGUCUGGGAGAUGGUUCCAGGGGAUACUUGAUCCCUCUUCGCCAUCAGGAUCCUCCUCCAACUUCACUCUCAGAAUUUUUUCCUCUUCAUCUGGAGUUGGGAUGAUAAGUAUUGAAUCUUCUUCCACUGACUGUGCAGACAUUCUGAUUUAUAAUAUUU